UACGGGGGGGGCAAGCGUUGUUCGGAAUUACUGGGCGUAAAGCGCGCGUAGGCGGCUUUUCAAGUCAGACGUGAAAUCCUUAGGCUUAACCUGAGAACUGCGUUUGAUACUGUUGGGCUAGAGUGUGGAAGGGGCUACUAGAAUUCCGUGUGUAGCGGUGAAAUGCGUAGAUAUACGGAGGAACACCAGCGGCGAAGGCGGGUAGCUGGGUCAACACUGACGCUGAGGCGCGAAAGCUAGGGUAGCAGACGGG
rnacentral:rRNA from 1 species